AAUUGAUGGACACUUUCGAUUAUUGUCUCUUUUCGUAGAAAACCUUGUGACCAACAAUGCACAAGCUUCCAAUUGUUACAAGGGUGCAUUUGAAACUUAUUGCUAUUCAUAAUUUCAUAGGUCUUUAGGUCUUAUCUAUUCUAAUAUUUAAUAGCAGGGAGGUUGGAGAGCCACGUGGGCCCCUCCUAGAAUUUUAAUAUUUUAAUACAUUUUUUAUUUUAGAAAAGAAAAAGGAAACGCUUGCGACAAAGAAACCGGAAAAAAAAAUCCAACCGUCACUUUCUUCUCCAAUUCUCUCCUCUAACCUUCAUAUUGCAUCAAUUCAUCAAAUCAAGGCUCAAACAGCGAUUAUUUUCAAGCUUAAAACAUCAAUUCAUCAAUUCGAUCGUCGAUUAUCUGCAUCAACACCUAUCUCAAAUUACGAGUAUAAUUUCAAAAAAAAAAAAUCUGCUUGGAUUUCGUCGCGUCGCUUCGCUUCUUCUCCGCCAUUCUCGCUCCUCUGACAUCGCUGCUCAUCACCAACCAUGGCGUUCUGUUGGAAUCAUCUCCAUAGAUGUUCGACUUCUAUUUCGAUGGUGAUGUUAAUUCGAGAUUACUGGUAUUCCUCGCUAUCAUGCAUUGUAAACCAAUUUGCGGCAUUUUGCCUCAAAAUGAAACUACCAGUUGGGAUCUUCAAGUGGAACAAAAAUUUACAGGAACUUGAAUAUUGCAGAAGUCGGGUAUUUCAAAAAGGCGGAACUUAUUCCUGAAGUUACACAAUUUCAAAUACCACAGCCAGAAAGCCAAAAUGGAGAUAAUGAGCAAAAAUAGCAAAAGCAUAAAAGAACUCCAACAAAUUAUUUGGAACAAGAAGAUAACCAGAUUAAAGGAAAAAGAAUAAGAGUCAUCAAGAACAUGGCAAAGGAAUAGGCUCGUGGGUGUGGAAUGCAGGACAUCAACACCACAAGGAUAAAAUAUUUUUGUUUCUUAUAUAUUAGGUGUUGUAAACACAUUGGAUAUAUUACUUUUUAGAUUGUAACUAAUCAAUUUGAUUUUAUCUAUUAGUUUGGUAUAACUUCAAAACAAUGUAAUUUUAAAAAUUUAUUUCUGUAUUGUACAAAGGAUUUAGCUUCCAUGUAACUAUUAGACAUAAUAAA